AUACGGAGGAUCCGAGCGUUAUCCGGAUUUAUUGGGUUUAAAGGGUGCGCAGGCGGCCAUUUAAGUCAGCGGUUAAAUCGUGGGGCUCAACCCCAUUCUGCCGUUGAUACUGGGUGGCUUGAUUGCGGUCGAGGUUGGCGGAAUUCGUUGUGUAGCGGUGAAAUGCAUAGAUAUGACGAAGAACACCGAUUGCGUAGGCAGCUGACCAGACCGCAAAUGACGCUCAUGCACGAAAGUGCGGGGAUCGAACAGGAUUAGAUACCCUGGUAGUCCGCACAGUAAACGAUGAAUACUUGUUUUCGGCGAUAUAAUGUCGGAGGCAAAGCGAAAGCGAUAAGUAGUCCACCUGGGGAGUACGCCGGCAACGGUGAAACUCAAAUGAAUUGACGGGG
rnacentral:rRNA from 1 species